CGGCAUAUAGCACAAUGGUUAGUGCAGCGGACUCAUAACUCGCCGAUGAAGGUUCGAAUCCUUAUGUGCCGA
rnacentral:tRNA from 1 species